ACCAUGGAUUUCCCCUUGGCCUCUGGAGGGCCCGGAUGUCAGGUUUCCAGCUUCCCAGCCGCCCCCUCUCACAGGUGGAGGCCUGCGUCUGUCUCCCUCCAUCCUGGGGGUUUGGGUUUGAACAUCACUGUGAGUUUCCCAGCACAUCUGAGCGUGGUCCAGCACCCGUAGGGUGACCAGAUGUCCUGAUUUUAUAGGGACAGUCCCGACAUUCAGGGCUUUGCCUUUGUCUUAUAUAGGUGCCUAUUACCCCCCACUCCCUGUCCCGAUUUUGCACACUUGCUAUCUGGUCACCCUAAGCACCUGUGCUUUCCUUUACUCCGGGGCUGCGACAAUGGAAACCAGGCACCAACCAACCGCUGCAAAGCACAUUUAGUCCUAGCAGCACAGAGAAAACAUGGAAAAUAAGAAAUGGUACAGCGGAUAACUAAAAACAAUUUCAUUCACAUUGGUCCUACAUUGUCCCCCUUUUGACCCUUCAAUCCAGGGGUAUUGAAUGGGUCACACUUUAUGCAAUUGUUUUAAGGCUAUAUAUUGGGAAACAAUGUGAGCUUGUGGUUUUAGCUUAAAGUACAGCCUUUUCAUCCAGCAGCACAUCCCACACAUUAUGAUUAACAUUAAGCUUAUCAGAAUAAAGAAAACAACAAUUGGAUGUAACAUAAUUGUUAAAGUUGAAGACCAGGAUGGGGACCAUCCCUUUAAAAUAUCAUACCAAUGGUGCGUGAUGAUUUGCUCCGCUUGUGCAGAUACUCUUAAUAUUUCAGAUCCCUGAUGUAAAAUAGCCAAACUGCGUGUUUGAACCUGGGUCCGUGUGGCUUCAGUCAGUUGGCUAAUUUGUUUAUUUUCCUGUAUUAGUUUGUACAGACUUGUCCAAUUGACUCCCAAAGUGAAGUUAAAGUUUAGAAUAUUACUGGACGGGGUGACAAUGAUGAUUGUGGUCCACUAUAGGCUGGGUAGGUGAGCUAACCUCAAAUAUACAAUUAUGGUUAUAAGGUGUGAUAUUUACCCAGACAUGUAAUGUAAGUAGUUCAAAGGGUCCAUGUAACGUAUGGUUAGAUAUUGGUACAAUUUGGAUUUGGUUUUCAGCGGUAAAAUUGAACCACUGGAUCCCCCAAUGUGCAUUGGAUAUCCCCAAAGUGAAUAAUUGUGUCAGAAAUUCCCAAAAUAGUAACAUUUUUGCUUCCAGCGGAGUUCUCCUGUAAACGCUUGCGCAGUUUGUGAGAGGGAAAUAAAAUUGUUGAUUAGUUUAUAA